GCCGGAAUAGCUCAGCUGGGAGAGCGUUAGACUGAAGAUCUAAAGGUCUCUGGUUCGAUCCCGGGUUUCGGCA
rnacentral:tRNA from 1 species